UGUCUAAAAUGGACCUGUGUUUAAUUUCACA
rnacentral:piRNA from 1 species